UACGUAGGUGGCAAGCGUUGUCCGGAAUUAUUGGGCGUAAAGCGCGCGCAGGCGGUCCUUUAAGUCUGAUGUGAAAGCCCACGGCUCAACCGUGGAGGGUCAUUGGAAACUGGGGGACUUGAGUACAGAAGAGAAGAGUGGAAUUCCACGUGUAGCGGUGAAAUGCGUAGAGAUGUGGAGGAACACCAGUGGCGAAGGCGACUCUUUGGUCUGUAACUGACGCUGAGGCGCGAAAGCGUGGGUAGCAAACGGG
rnacentral:rRNA from 1 species